rnacentral:rRNA from 1 species
AGUGAACGCUGGCGGCAGGCUUAACACAUGCAAGUCGAACGGCAGCACAGUAUUUGCUUGCUCUUACGGGUGGCGAGUGGUGGACGGGUCAGGAAAACAUCCGAAUCUAUUUUUUCGUGGGGGAUAACGUAGGGAAACUUACCCUAAUACCGCAUACGACCUACAGGUGAAAGCAUCGGACCUUCCGAUCUUGCGCGAUUGAAUGGGCCGAUGUCGGAUUAGCUAGUUGGCGGGGUAAAGGCCCACCAAGGCGACGAUCGGUAGCUGGUCUGAGAGGACGAUCAGCCACACUGGAACUGAGACACGGUCCAGACUCCUACGGGAGGCAGCAGUGGGGAAUAUUGGACAAAGGGCGCAAGCCUGAUCCAGCCAUACCGCGUGGGUGAAGAAGGCCUUCGGGUUGUAAAGCCCUUUUGUUGGGAACGAAAAGCAGCAGGUUAAUACCACGCUUUUCUGACGGUACCCGAAGAAUAAGCACCGGCUAACUACGUG